AGGAGCUGAACUCAGGAGUCCCUGAUGCCAGCCUUUCUGAUGUGGCCCCCACUCCCCUACCGCAUGUGUUUCACUCCAUAGCUCCAGGCCAGGAGCCCCAACUGGCUGGUGGAGGAUGUCUUGCUCCUCAGCAGCUGAGAUUUGUAAGUAUUUAUAGGAACAUGGAACAGAUCAGUGGCUGACAGGCCCAGGAAGCAGACAGUCCCCUUCCCAUAGGUCACCAGCUUCACUUCCCCUUCCCGCACCCCAUCCUGAUUUGAGGGAGCCCAGGAUGACAAAGAGGGAGUAGUUGAGCAAGGUAUGGAGUAGCAGCCUCUAAAGGAGCUCAAAGGAUGCAGUUGUCCAUCUGCCCUGGGCUCAGCUUCCACACUCAGAGUCACUCACAUCCCUCCACCGUCGCCACAGCUCACCUAUGUGCCCACACUGACCAAGGCCACACUGACCCCAAAUGCACACUGUUUCAACUCUCAGCACUUCACUGUCACACUCGCGUGUGUACACACAUGCUAAUUUCCACAGCCACGUGGAUGCUCACAGGCUCACACCUUUGCACACACACAAGCUGGCUCCACACACUGGGGGCCCAGAUCCCGGUCAUUCCCCACAGGUCUUAAUAAAGGUUCUGAGAGGGAAA
rnacentral:sRNA from 1 species